UACAGAGGUCCCAAGCGUUGUUCGGAUUCACUGGGCGUAAAGGGUGCGUAGGUGGCCAGGUAAGUCUGAUGUGAAAUCUCGGAGCUCAACUCCGAAACUGCAUUGGAUACUAUCUGGCUGGAGGGUCGGAGGGGGGACUGGAAUUCUCGGUGUAGCAGUGAAAUGCGUAGAUAUCGAGAGGAACACCAGUGGCGAAGGCGAGUCCCUGGACGACUCCUGACACUGAGGCACGAAGGCUAGGGGAGCAAACAGG
rnacentral:rRNA from 1 species